GGACCAAGGAGUCUAGCAUGUGCGCGAGUCAUUGGGACAUAACUAAACCUAAAGGCGAAAUGAAAGUGAAGGUCCGCCUCGCGCGGACCUAGGGAGGAUGGGCUCGCCCACGGGCGGCCCCGCACUCCCGGGGCGUCUCGUUCUCAUCGCGAGAGGAGGCGCACCCAGAGCGUACACGCUGGGACCCGAAAGAUGGUGAACUAUGCCUGGUCAGGACGAAGUCAGGGGAAACCCUGAUGGAGGUCCGUAGCGAUUCUGACGUGCAAAUCGAUCGUCGGAACUGGGUAUAGGGGCGAAAGACUAAUCGAACCAUCUAGUAGCUGGUUCCCUCCGAAGUUUCCCUCAGGAUAGCUGGCGCUCGCCGCGCGCGAGUCUCAUCCGGUAAAGCGAAUGAUUAGAGGCAUUGGGGUCGAAACGGCCUCAACCUAUUCUCAAACUUUAAAUGGGUGAGAUCUCCGGCUUGCUCGAACAAGUGAAGCCGCGAGAUUUCGGAUCAGAGUGCCAAGUGGGCCACUUUUGGUAAGCAGAACUGGCGCUGUGGGAUGAACCAAACGCAGAGUUAAAGCGCCCAAAUCGACGCUUAUGGGAUACCAUGAAAGGCGUUGGUAACUUAAGACAGCAGGACGG
rnacentral:rRNA from 1 species